rnacentral:rRNA from 1 species
UACGUAGGUGGCAAGCGUUAUCCGGAUUUAUUGGGCGUAAAGAGAACGCAGGCGGUCUUUUAAGUCUGAUGUGAAAGCCUUCGGCUUAACCGGAGUAGUGCAUUGGAAACUGGGAGACUUGAGUGCAGAAGAGGAGAGUGGAACUCCAUGUGUAGCGGUGGAAUGCGUAGAUAUAUGGAAGAACACCAGUGGCGAAAGCGGCUCUCUGGUCUGUAACUGACGCUGAGGUUCGAAAGCGUGGGUAGCAAACAGG